CGAACGCUGGCGGCGUGCUUAACACAUGCAAGUCGAACGGAAAGGCCCCUUUGGGGGUACUCGAGUGGCGAACGGGUGAGUAACACGUGAGUAACCUGCCCUUGACUUCGGGAUAACUUCAGGAAACUGGGGCUAAUACCGGAUAGGAAUCCUUGCUGCAUGGUGGGGGUUGGAAAGCUUCGGCGGUUUUGGAUGGACUCGCGGCUUAUCAGCUUGUUGGUGGGGUAGUGGCUUACCAAGGCUUUGACGGGUAGCCGGCCUGAGAGGGCGACCGGCCACAUUGGGACUGAGAUACGGCCCAGACUCCUACGGGAGGCAGCAGUGGGGAAUAUUGCACAAGGGGCGGAAGCCUGAUGCAGCAACGCCGCGUGCGGGAUGACGGCCUUCGGGUUGUAAACCGCUUUCAGCAGGGGCGAAGCUUGUGGUGACGGUACCUGCAGAAGAAGCACCGGCUAACUACGUG
rnacentral:rRNA from 1 species